AUUGAACGCUGGCGGCAGGCCUAACACAUGCAAGUCGAGCGGAGCGGCGGACGGGUGAGUAAUGCCUAGGAAUCUGCCUGGUAGUGGGGGAUAACGUCCGUAAACGGGCGCUAAUACCGCAUACUAUCAGAUGAGCCUAGGGCGGAGUAGCUAGUUGGUGAGGUAAAGGCCUACCAAGGCGACGAUCCGUAACUGGUCUGAGAGGAUGAUCAGUCACAAGGGAACUGAGACACGGUCCAGAAGCCUUCGGGAGGCAGCAGUGGGGAAUAUUGGACAAUGGGCGAAAGCCUGAUCCAGCCAUGGCGCGUGGGUGAAGAAGGUCUUCGGGUUGGAAAGCACUUUAAGUUGGGAGGCGUUACCAACAGAAUAAGCACCGGCUAACUUCGUGCCAGGAGCCGCGGUAAUUU
rnacentral:rRNA from 1 species